GUAUUUUUAGUAGAGACAGGGUUUCACCAUAUUGGUCAGACUGGUCUUGAACUCCUGACCUCUGGUGAUCCACUCGCCUCGGCCUCCCAAAGUGCUGGGAUUACAGGCGUCAGCUACCGUGUCCAGCCGAAACAUGAAGUUUCAAAAUGCCAAGAUGUAUCACAGAAGACACUCAGCAGUCAGCCACAUUUAUCUUGGAGAAGAGUUCCAGGACUUAAAUGUUUGAAUAGUAUAAACUAGUUUUUUAAAAAGUCUGCCUGAAGCCGAAGAUUAAAUACUUUAAAAAGUUCACUGGGUGAUCUUGGCAUGUUGACAUUAUCUUAACAGUCUAAGCUUGUUACCUUACACCAACCUGACAGGUUCAUUAGAAGCACAUGAAUACAUAUAAAAGGCAUAAAAGACUGGGUCAAUGAAUAUGAGCUCUGAAUUCUAAAAUUCCUUUGCAUUUCUAGGCAGUACUUACCAUAGUAUGUUUACGUACCUGGUGAGUGACAAUGCUCAAAAAUUUCUGAAGUAUUCAUCCACAUUAUGCUAGCGAAAUGUCAAAUUGUCCUUUAAUAUUCAAAUGCAUGAACCAUCACUCCUUGGCCUUUUGGCCAAGAUCAAGUGUAGUAUCAAAUGCAUGAACCAUGAAAGCUAUCUUAAAAGGAAAGUAACAUUUAAAGGAAUUGAAUAUAAACCUUCGGUUAAUCUUGCUAGCACGUAGUCAAUACAUCAGUAUUUUUCUGCCCCUUUUAUAGUCUUACUGGAAAUGACUGUAAAACAGAAACAAAGCUAAGCCAUGGUAAAUAGAACAUUAAAUGCCCAACCUAAUUUAUUUUGCUAAGAGAAACUGAUGAACUAAAAGAGAAACAACUAUUGUCUACAUUUUAGAUAUGGGGGAAAAAACCCUGAGAUUACUAAUUAUGUAUCACCAUCCUCUUAAUGUAGAUCCUGAAAAUGAUGGUAUCAAUAUAAUACAUACAGUGGAUUCACCUUUUAAACUGGAUCUAUUACCUUUGAUAUUUGUCUUACACUGAAAAAUUCUGACAUCUUCAGGAAACCAAUAUGAUGGAUAAGCUAAAUGUUGACUUAAAAUAGUUAAACCCCUUAAUAACAUCCUUUAGUUUCUAUUAUUUCACUGCUUAAGUUCAGCAUCUGAAUAACAAAGGUAACAUAAGUAGUACUUAAGAUCCCAAAGGCCCAUUACAUUCUAUCAAUAAAGACAAAACAAAAC
rnacentral:lncRNA from 1 species